CAUUUCAGACAGAAGUAUAAGCGAACAAAUGACACAUUACAUUGGCUGCAGAAGCUUGAAAAGUUACAUAGAGCAAGGACGGUCAAAACAAUGGGAUAAUGCUUCUAUGGUGUCCUACAUGUCUAGUCAGGUUGACAGAAGUGGAAGAUGGUCUAGUGGUACAAUGAUGUACAAAUGAUACUCUAUAAUAGGUUUAACAUUUAAAAGUGUAAAAUGUUCUGUGGAUUCAUAUGAUGGGAAUGCCAGUGUUAUUCUGUAUGGUUUAAUUAAACACAGAUAUUGAUACCUUCAGGUAUGUCUAUGAAAUCUUCAGUGUCACCAUUCAGCAGGGCUUCGGAAAUUUGCCGGUUUGUCGGUUUUGGACCGAUUUUUGACUUUUCAGACCGAUUCAUGAAGUGAAAAAACGAAAAAAAUCGGUCCCGUAAAAAUGGAGAAAAGUAUAAAUUUCGGUCUGAUAUCUCAAUACACCAUCUACUGCCAAGCAGGAAAUUGUUGAUCGCACCCUCAGAUAAUCAAUAAACGUGUCAAACGGUCUGAUUGUCACCUUGAUAAUCGGUCCGUAAUUAGCACGUGACGCAAUCAGUGCUCGCGCGGCACAUCCUUUAAUGUUUGCAGACAGCCAACUGCAAUGGAUUAAACAUUUUUGACUGGUUUCCAAAUAUGUCUGACUGGAUCCAAAUCAUUUCGACGGGGACCCACUUCUUUUAUUUAGAAUCCGACGGAUGGUUUAUUUCAAAAGGCUAUGUUUGAUCACGGUAAAAAACAAAUGGUCACUGCAUUUAAUCAAAGAGCUAUAAUUGUCCAUUCUUUGAUUUAAUGAGACAUCACACGGAAAACCGAUCAAAAUAUUUUUUAUAAUUACUUGAUUUGAAAAAAUUACAUGAUUCAUUUGUUGGGGCUCCAGUUGAAACAAGUGCAGAAAAUCGUCUUUGCAAACUGACUGUGAAAAAAGGAAAAAGAAAAAAAAAUGGACUGGCAAACACGAAUGAUAAAGAAAACUGGAGUGGCGCUGUUUAUCAAAUCGGUCUUUUAAAAAACGUUUCAAAAUGAAAUUUUGUUUACAUCAGAAGAGAACAUAUAAAUUUAUAAAAUGUAGUUGCUUAUUGAAGUACAACAUAAGUGAAAUGAAAUAUCCGUGGCCAACACGCGUGACCUUUUGGUACUAGAAUCUAUACAUGCGGGAAAUUCGAUCUCAGCGUUCGGCUACACAUUCGGUCCGCGGCAGAGUAUUCUUAAAAUACUGAGACUGUUUAGCAGAGAAUAUGUGUCGUGUAAUUCACUUUAACGCAUUGUAUUUUAUAGAACUCCGUCAAAGAAUGAGGAAACAUCACAAAGUAUCUGCCGUGUAUACGGUACCGGUCACGUGCGUUGGCUUUUAGACUAGUUACGCACACGGUAAUUUUAUCCUUACAAGUAUUUUCUCGGAAAAACAUCGAAAUUUAAACAAAGUAACGAUCACACAUAAUACUGAAUAACUGUCUUCAUUGUAUGGAAACACGCGGUGACCGGUAACUCAGUUUUAAUGCAUAACAUGCUUAUUUCUUUACUCUAUCACGUUUUACAAAAUAUGUAAUAUUGGGAAUGCGGUGGGUGGGGUAGCGCCGAUGUCAGGAUUUUCGUUUCGGACCGAUUGAGUUAUCAAAAUUUCCGGAGCCCUGCCAUUCAGCUAUGGUUCAAGAUCAGUGUCAGCAACUUGCACAGUUUAGUAUAGAGGAGCCUACUGAAUCAAUUUUGUUACAUAUUUGCUGUUAUUGUAGGCCAGACAUGUAGAGAGCAGCAAGUCCUGUCCAGCCGUGCAUGUAAAUGUGAUUCAGAAACUGAGAAUAUGUGAACAUUACACUGUUAUAAUUUUCAAAAUAUUGUGUCUUGUUUUUAAAGUUGUAAGUUUAAGGUUGGCAUAAAUUGUUUUUCUCUUUUAUAAAUCUAAAAAGUGACGGGUCAUUAUGAUUGCAAUAUCAUAUUAGUAUGACAAAGUUUAUAUUGAACUAAAACACCACUGAAAUUUUUGAAAUAAUCAAUGCAUUUUCUUCAGUCUUAAAACAUUUGUUUAUCGUAAGUGCCAUGGUCUAUAACUCCUCCGGAUCCAUAUUACUCGUGUUUGGUCCUUUUUAGUUUCACUGAAGUAUGGGUGUUUUAGCAUCCCGAUUUUGUAAAGUGUUGUAUGUAAGCUUUUAUCUCAGAAUUAUGUCUCAUCCAAAGGUGGGGAGACGUAUUGUUUUUGCCUUCUCGUCUGUCCGUAUUAAGCCUGUCCUGCUUUUACAGGACAAACUGCUGGCCAGAUUUCGAUGAAACUUCACAGGACUGAUCAGUACCAAGCGUAGAGUUGUGCAUAUCGCUUGCAUGUUCCGUUUCGCUGCACUAAAUUACAGCCAGAGCAAAAAAUAGAAAAAUAUUAUUGGCUUUCACAGGUCAAACUACUGAACAGAUUUUGAUGAAACUUCACAGGAGUGAUCAGUACCAAGCAUAUUUUUGCAUAUUGCCGUCACUUUCCGUUUUGCUGCACAAAAUAGCCCCAUAGCUAAAGGGAUACAUAGAUAGGAAACAUGUUUGGUCAUAAAAAUACCUAAAACACCUUCCCGUUUGCUAAUGAAAAAUGUAUCAAACUUCUUACACUUGCAAACUGUAAUAAUUUGACAUUAAAUUCACUGGUUCCAUAACUGCAUUUGGCUUUUUUACAAAAUUAUUGCCCUUGUUACCUCAUUAAGCAUCAUAAAAGCAGAAAGUUCUAUGAAAUGUUUGCCCUUGUCAUGUAUAUGUCUUCAGUGUUUUAUAUUGUUGUUACUUUUUGUUGUGCCAGUUUGCGGAAGUGAAGACUUAGUUGUCCAAAUGGUGUGCAUGUGUCCAUCCUGAUUUGUUUGUCUGGGCAAUAUAUUAUUGAUUAGUCUUCACGAAACUUUGCAGGUUUAUUCCCAUAAGUUCCCUGUCAACUUUGAUAGUGGCAUGGUUACUUUAGAAACCACUGUACUAGUCGAACGUUUCAUAUUUUAGAUUUUUAUCACAAUACAGGCUACUGGUUCAAACAUUAAGAAGUAUAGUACUAUAAGGCAUUAUUUGAACUCUUGUCCAGUACUUUUUGAUUUUCUCUGUUACUAUGAAAUUGCCUUUUCCUAGAAAUUGGUUGGCUUAUUUUUGGUGAACUUAUGUUUUUUUAUGAAUUGUAGUUAUGUUCUUUAUCUCAUGAAAAUGUCCAUUUUUAUAAAAGUUAUAUUUUUUACUGUCAACAAAGUGCAGUACCACAUAUUUAUCACUUUCAUUAACAUACUUGUACUAUAUUCAUAAAACAUUAUAUAAAUCAUUAUAUUUCAUAUAAACAGAAUUAAAUAAAUAUUUAAGAACAUAGUGUUUUCUUAUUGCUAGAUGAAACAGACCAUAGGUCAAGUUAGGGUCAAUUCUGACACCUUAUAUGCAAAUUGAUAAGGGAGAUAACUAGUACUGUCUUAAGUAACCAAUAUUUAGUUACACAGUUACCUUCCCUUUACACAAGUAGGACUAUUUGUUGUUGAUCAUCUUUUGAACAUUAUUCCCUUUCUGAAGACAGAACAUUGAAAACAAAAGUUGUUGUAUCAUGCAAUUAGAUCAUAUAUAACAAUAUAUACAUUUUUAUUCCAUUUUUUAAAUGUUCU